rnacentral:rRNA from 1 species
CUACGGGAGGCACCAGUAGGGAAUAUUGCACAAUGGGCGAAAGCCUGAUGCAGCAACGCCGCGUGUGCGAUGAAGGCCUUCGGGUCGUAAAGCACUUUUCGAGAGGAUGAGAAAGGACAGUACUCUCGGAAUAAGUCUCGGCUAACUACGUGCCAGCAGCCGCGGUAACACGUAGGAGGCAAGCGUUAUUCGGAUUUACUGGGCGUAAAGCGCGUGCAGGCGGUUUGGUAAGUUGGACGUGAAAGCUCCCGGCUCAACUGGGAGAGGUCGUUCAAGACUGCUAGACUAGAGAGCAGUAGAGGAAGGUGGAAUUCCCGGUGUAGUGGUGAAAUGCGUAGAUAUCGGGAGGAACACCAGUGGCGAAAGCGGCCUUCUGGACUGUUUCUGACGCUCAGACGCGAAAGCUAGGGUAGCAAACGGGAUUAGAUACCCGGGUAGUC